AUUGAACGCUGGCGGCAGGACUAACACAUGCAAGUCGAACGAAUGGCUGACGGGUGAGUAAUGUCUGGGAAACUGCCCGAUGGAGGGGGAUCACUACUGGAAACGGUAGCUAAUACCGCAUACCAUCGGAUGUGCCCAGAUGGGAUUAGCUAGUAGGUGGGGUAACGGCUCACCAAGGCGACGAUCCCUAGCUGGUCUGAGAGGAUGACAAGCCACACUGGAAGUGAGAAACGGUCCAGACUCCUACGGGAGGCAGCAGUGGGGAAUAGUGCACGAUGUGCGCAAGCCUGAUACAGCCAUGCCGCGUGUAUGAAGAAGGCCUUCGGGUCGUAAAGUACUUUUGUCGGUGAGGCUUUACCCGUAGAAGAAGCACCGGCUCACUCCGCGCCAGCCGCCGCGGUAAUUC
rnacentral:rRNA from 1 species